GGGGGAGACGGUGGAUUGACCUUCUCCCACCAUCACGGGCCACCUGGCACUCAUUCGAGGACCGCUAUGCUGCCCGCGUCGAACGAGGGUUAACGAGCCGGCCAUUUGGCUGAACGUUGGGCCAGGCUCCUGGAAUGCGGAGUGAGCUAGCAACUCGCAACGGCCCGUGGGCGCACGACUGUACAACGACUUCUAGGGUUUCUCCGCAUAGAAGUGUCAACCGAAGCCUUAGCCAUGAUAGCCGUGACCACCGUA